CUGGGCUCGGGGGCGCCGGUGCACUCCCCGCGGUUGAGAAUCGCGACGAUCUUUUGGGAGUCACGGCUGAUGAUCGGGCCACCGGAGCCCAGGCC
rnacentral:tRNA from 1 species